UAUAAUCAGCAACAUGGAAAUCAACACCCCAUUAGUUUAUAUGUCCUCCAGAGCAUGCAGUUGUGACAAUGUCCAAAUGCUCUAUUUGUGCCGACCAAUAGAGCAAGACAAUCCCAGAGUCCAACAAAAUUAUGGAAGAUCAGGCCAAGUUUUAAAUUCUUCAAGGGUGCAAGCUGUCCAGAGACCUUGAAUCGAACCUACCAACUUCGGCAAACCAGCCCCAAAUAAGCGCGACCGAGACCUGCGAGGAAAUCAUAAGAAUCUUCACAUCAGCUUUAGAGAAAUUGAUGAUGGACAUGGACCGUAAGGAAUCAACUGAAGGUCAUCAAAGUUGCUUUCCCAAGAUAUUCCUAACAUACCUACUCGAAAAGCUGUAUAUAAAGAUACGUAUGAUGAUUAGAUAACAUCUGUGAGUUAUAUAUCAUCAUCAACCCUGCGCUUGUGUGAUGGAGAUAGGUUUUCUUUUUGGUAGAAUGGAGGAGAUGGAUUAAGCAUGAAGAGUUUCCACUGCUUUGCAUGCGAAACUUACAUGGCUUCAAUAUGCACACAUAGCUAAAAUACAAAGUGUAGUUUCCUUAACACUACAAGGAUGACUCUCUCUCUCUCUCUCUCACUGAGCUACAGGAACAUUAUUUAAUCAGCAGUUCAAUAAUAAACUAGUCCAAGGGGCCUAGUGAAGCAGAAAUUCCCCAGGUACUUCCCAAAAACACAGACCCACCAAAGGUCCAAAAGAAGCAUAUAUCCCAGAUUGUACAAGAGUUUCAUAUAAGAAUUUGAGCACCCACAGGAUCCUCGCCGUCAUAUAUUUCUUUGGGUUAUUCCACAGGAUAGAGAUACAACCACGACCGUAUCCCUAAAUUCUCAUCCUCUUUGUUUUGUCUCUAAGCUGUAACACUUCUGGUCUCUGAGGCCUCCUAACAUAUUGCUCAUUGGGUCUCUCACCAGAACAAUCUUAUAAUUUAGGUCAGUAACAUACAACCGCAAAGCCCAGAUCAGACAAUCAUUCGGAACCGAACCUCCGACCCUCCCAAAAAAGCAAAGGGAGAAACGGUUUACCAAAAAAAAUCAAUUUCGGACUCACCUCGCUCUGGAAUAGCUGUGUCGGAGUAGGGGAGCUGCAAAAGAGAGGCGAUGGUAGCGAGUCUGGGCCUAGCGACAGAAGACGAGAGGCGACAAUGAGUUGGGUUGCGUUCCUGCGGCGCACCAACAAGAAGCGAACCGGCUAAGUAACGACGAUGGUGGCGAUUGGCGAGGGUGCGGUGGAUCUACGGUUGCUGCGUAUAGAGGGUUCCUGCGAAUCGCAGGCUGCGAUUGAGAGAGAGAGAGAGAGGCAGGAUCGCACGAGCUCGAGGAGAGAGAGAGAAUCGCAGGCUGAAGAGGUAAUAUGGAGGUGAGAUUUCAAGCCAUUGCAUUCGCUCUCUUUUUG
rnacentral:lncRNA from 1 species